UACGGAGGGUGCAAGCGUUAUCCGGAUUCACUGGGUUUAAAGGGUGCGUAGGUGGGCAGGUAAGUCAGUGGUGAAAUCCUAGAGCUUAACUCUAGAACUGCCGUUGAUACUAUCUGUCUUGAAUAUUGUGGAGGUGAGCGGAAUAUGUCAUGUAGCGGUGAAAUGCUUAGAUAUGACAUAGAACACCAAUUGCGAAGGCAGCUCGCUACACAUAUAUUGACUCUGAGGCACGAAAGCGUGGGGAUCAAACAGG
rnacentral:rRNA from 1 species